GACGAACGCUGGCGGCGUGCUUAACACAUGCAAGUCGAACGGAACGGCCCUGCUUUGUUGGGGUGCUCGAGUGGCGAACGGGUGAGUAACACGUGAGUAACCUGUCCUUGCCUUUGGGAUAACUUCAUGAAACUUGGUCUAAUACCGUAUAGGAGCUCCUGCUGCUUGGUGGGGGUUGGAAAGUUUCGGCGGUUGGGGAUGUACUCGCGGCUUAUCAGCUUGUUGGUUGGGUAGUGGAUUACCAUGGCUUUGACGGGUAGCCGGGCUGCGAGGGUGAGCGGCCAAAUUGGGAUGGAGAUACGGCCCAGCCUCGUAUGGGAGGCAGCAGUGGGGAAUAGUGCACAAUGGGAGGAGGCCUGAUGUAGUAACGCCGCGUGGGGGAUGACGGCCUUCGGGUUGUAAAGCGAUGCCGCCUGUGACGAAGCGUGAGUGACGGUAAUGGGUAAAGAAGCACCGGCUAACUCCGUG
rnacentral:rRNA from 1 species